rnacentral:rRNA from 1 species
UACGGAAGGCAGCAGUGGGGAAUAUUGCACAAUGGGCGCAAGCCUGAUGCAGCCAUGCCGCGUGUAUGAAGAAGGCCUUCGGGUUGUAAAGUACUUUUCAGCGGGGAGGAAGGCGGUGGAGUUAAUAGCUUCACCGAUUGACGUUACCCGCAGAAGAAGCACCGGCUAACUCCGUGCCAGCAGCCGCGGUAAUACGGAGGGUGCAAGCGUUAAUCGGAAUUACUGGGCGUAAAGCGCACGCAGGCGGUCUGUCAAGUCGGAUGUGAAAUCCCCGGGCUUAACCUGGGAACUGCAUUCGAAACUGGCAGGCUAGAGUCUUGUAGAGGGGGUGAAAUUCCAGGUGUAGCGGUGAAAUGCGUAGAGAUCUGGAGGAAUACCGGUGGCGAAGGCGGCCCCUGGGACAAAGACUGACGCUCAGGGUGCGAAAGCGUGGGGAGCAAACAGGAUUAGGAUACC